UGAAACAUAUUGCUCCGAGCUUGCAAAACCUGUGAGGUUAAUCUUAUGGCUUGCAAGACGUUUAGGGUAUCAUUGGAAACGGUGGUGCCUCCCGUUUGGAAAGGAGCAGCAUAUAGUUUUUU
rnacentral:ncRNA from 2 species